rnacentral:rRNA from 1 species
GACGAACCGAGCGAACGUUGUUCGGAAUCACUGGGCUUAAAGGGCGCGUAGGCGGGUGCUCAAGUCCGGGGUGAAAUCCCACAGCUCAACUAUGGAACUGCCUCGGAUACUGGGUGUCUCGAGGGUGGCAGGGGUAUGCGGAACUAUCGGUGGAGCGGUGAAAUGCGUUGAUAUCGAUAGGAACUCCGGUGGCGAAGGCGGCAUACUGGUCCACUUCUGACGCUGAGGCGCGAAAGCCAGGGGAGCAAACGGG